rnacentral:rRNA from 1 species
AUUGAACGCUGGCGGCAGGCCUAACACAUGCAAGUCGAACGAGUGGCGUACGGGUGAGUAAUGACUGGGAAACUGCCUGAUGGAGGGGGAUAACUACUGGAAACGGUAGCUAAUACUGCAUACCAGCAGAUGCGCCCAGAUGGGAUUAGCUUGUUGGUGGGGUAACGGCUCACCAAGGCGACGAUCCAUAGCUGGUCUGAGAGGAUGACCAGCCACACUGGAACUGAGACACGGUCCAGACUCCGACGGGAGUCAGCAGUAGGGGAUAUUGCACAAUGGGCGCAAGCCUGAUGCAGCCAUGCCGCGUGUAUGAAGAAGGCCUUCGGGUUGUAAAGUACUUUCAGCGGGGAGGCGUUACCCACAGAAGAAACACCGGCUAACUCCGUGCCAGCAGCCGCGGUAAUUC